rnacentral:rRNA from 1 species
CCAGACUCCUACGGGAGGCAGCAGUGGGGAAUAUUGCACAAUGGGGGGAACCCUGAUGCAGCGACGCCGCGUGAGUGAAGAAGUAUUUCGGUAUGUAAAGCUCUAUCAGCAGGGAAGAAAAACCGACCAUAGGGUCGCUAGACGGUACCUGAUUAAGAAGCCCCGGCUAACUACGUGCCAGCAGCCGCGGUAAUACGUAGGGGGCAAGCGUUAUCCGGAUUCACUGGGUGUAAAGGGAGCGUAGACGGCGACGCAAGUCUGGAGUGAAAGCCCGGGGCCCAACCCCGGGACUGCUCUGGAAACUGCGGCGCUGGAGUACCGGAGAGGUAAGCGGAAUUCCUAGUGUAGCGGUGAAAUGCGUAGAUAUUAGGAGGAACACCAGUGGCGAAGGCGGCUUACUGGACGGUAACUGACGUUGAGGCUCGAAAGCGUGGGGAGCAAACAGGAUUAGAUACCCUCGUAUGC